CAGCAGCCGCGGGAAUACGUAGGGUGCGAGCGUUAAUCGGAAUUACUGGGCGUAAAGCGUGCGCAGGCGGUUGUGUAAGACAGGUGUGAAAUCCCCGGGCUUAACCUGGGAACUGCGCUUGUGACUGCACAGCUAGAGUAUGGCAGAGGGGGGUGGAAUUCCACGUGUAGCAGUGAAAUGCGUAGAGAUGUGGAGGAACACCGAUGGCGAAGGCAGCCCCCUGGGCCAAUACUGACGCUCAUGCACGAAAGCGUGGGGAGCAAACAGGAUUAGAUCCCCCGUAGUCCCUGUCUCUUAUACA
rnacentral:rRNA from 1 species